rnacentral:rRNA from 1 species
GAUGAACGCUAGCGGCAGGCCUAACACAUGCAAGUCGAGGGGUAGAAGGAGCUUGCUCCUUUGAGACCGGCGCACGGGUGCGUAACGCGUAUGCAAUCUACCUUGUACAGGGGAAUAGCCCAGAGAAAUUUGGAUUAAUGCCCCAUAGUAUAUAACCUUCGCAUGUUGGUUAUAUUAAAGUUCCAACGGUACAAGAUGAGCAUGCGUCCCAUUAGUUAGUUGGUAAGGUAACGGCUUACCAAGACGAUGAUGGGUAAGGGUCCUGAGAGGGAGAUCCCCCACACUGGGACUGAGACACGGACCAGACUCAUACGGGAGGCAGCAGUGAGGAAUAUUGGUCAAUGGUCGCAAGACUGAACCAGCCAUGCCGCGUGCAGGAAGACGGUCCUAUGGAUUGUAAACUGCUUUUAUACAGGAAGAAACCCUCCCACGUGUGGGAGCUUGACGGUACUGUAGGAAUAAGGAUCGGCUAACUCCGUG